UCAGAAACUUCCAACACGGAAAAUGGCCACUAAAGCUCACAAAAUCCCACAACUCUAGGCGUUAAUUUCGUAAUACCUGCAGCAGAAACUAGAGCAGUUAUAGAAGCACGUGGUGCUCGCAAGUAGCGAAAGAAGAAGAAGAGGGCUUCGACGUGAAGAACACUUGGUCAUGGCUGACAUUCAGAUCAGUUUCACAGCCGGUUUCUCGGGACAAAGGCGCCGGGGCGGAGCCAACGUUGGAAUGGAAGCAGCAACCACCCGGCCGCCUUCUGGCGCAGGUUGGGGCGCCAGUGGAUUUUCCUGGCACCAGGACCUUCCCAAUGGAGGCGCCUUGGAGGCUGGAGCGGUCUGCUUGCGUGAGGCAAACCCACAGAAGGCGGAGCUCCCUACCAUCUACGGAGACGUCGGCAAUAGGGAGCGUGGCCUAUCAGCGAGAAGCAGCCCCGGCCGAACAGACGAGUGCAACCAAGAAGGCCACAUGAGCCGGGACUGUCCCACUGCUCACUGUGGAGGACGACGCGGAGGCCUCAGGUCUGGCGAGGAAGGCCACCUGAGUAGGGAUUGAAUGCAGACACGUAGGCGCGACAGAGCGAUAUGUGGGUCGCUACCCUUGCCGUGCAGCCAGAUUACGAGAUUUGUGUUUAUUUCGUCCUUUAUUCGAUCGUUCUAUAUAAAGAAAUUCUUACAUUUCUAGUUCUUUGAUGAUUAGGAUAAUAAAUAUAUUCUUCCACCGUC